rnacentral:rRNA from 1 species
GGAGGAAAAGAAACCAACAGGGAUUACCUCAGUAACGGCGAGUGAAGCGGUAACAGCUCAAAUUUGAAAUCUGGCUCUUUCAGGGUCCGAGUUGUAAUUUGUAGAAGAUGCUUUGGGUGUAGCUCCGGUCUAAGUUCCUUGGAACAGGACGUCAUAGAGGGUGAGAAUCCCGUAUGUGACUGGCUGCUUUCGCCUAUGUAAAGCUCUUUCGACGAGUCGAGUUGUUUGGGAAUGCAGCUCUAAAUGGGAGGGUAUAUUUCUUCUAAAGCUAAAUAUUGGCCAGAGACCGAUAGCGCACAAGUAGAGUGAUCGAAAGAUGAAAAGCACUUUGGAAAGAGAGUUAAACAGUACGUGAAAUUGUUGAAAGGGAAGCGCUUGCAACCAGACUUGCACGCCGUCAAUCAUCCUGGGUUCUCCCUGGUGCACUUGGCGGCGUUCAGGCCAGCAUCGGUUUCGGUGGUUGGAUAAAGGCCUUGGGAAUGUAGCUCCUCUCGGGGAGUGUUAUAGCCCUCGGUGCAAUGCAGCCUACCGGGACCGAG